UACGUAGGGACCGAGCGUUGUCCGGAUUCAUUGGGCGUAAAGAGCUCGUAGGCGGCUAUUCAAGUCGAACGUGAAAUCUCAGAGCUCAACUCCGAAACUGCGUUCGAUACUGGGUAGCUAGAGUCUGGUAGGGGGAUCUGGAAUUCCUGGUGUAGCGGUGGAAUGCGCAGAUAUCAGGAGGAACACCGGUGGCGAAGGCGGGAUCCUGGGCCAGUACUGACGCUGAGGAGCGAAAGCGUGGGGAGCAAACAGG
rnacentral:rRNA from 1 species